GCGCUCGUGGUGUAAUGGACAGCACAACAGUCUACGGAACUGUUAGAGGGGGUUCGAAUCCCUCCGGGCGUAC
rnacentral:tRNA from 1 species